GGGUUGUGAGGUUAAGCGACUAAGCGUACACGGUGGAUGCCCUGGCAGUCAGAGGCGAUGAAGGACGUGCUAAUCUGCGAUAAGCGUCGGUAAGGUGAUAUGAACCGUUAUAACCGGCGAUUUCCGAAUGGGGAAACCCAGUGUGUUUCGACACACUAUCAUUAACUGAAUCCAUAGGUUAAUGAGGCGAACCGGGGGAACUGAAACAUCUAAGUACCCCGAGGAAAAGAAAUCAACCGAGAUUCCCCCAGUAGCGGCGAGCGAACGGGGAGCAGCCCAGAGCCUGAAUCAGUGUGUGUGUUAGUGGAAGCGUCUGGAAAGGCGCGCGAUACAGGGUGACAGCCCCGUACACAAAAAUGCACAUGCUGUGAGCUCGAUGAGUAGGGCGGGACACGUGGUAUCCUGUCUGAAUAUGGGGGGACCAUCCUCCAAGGCUAAAUACUCCUGACUGACCGAUAGUGAACCAGUACCGUGAGGGAAAGGCGAAAAGAACCCCGGCGAGGGGAGUGAAAAAGAACCUGAAACCGUGUACGUACAAGCAGUGGGAGCACGCUUCGGCGUGUGACUGCGUACCUUUUGUAUAAUGGGUCAGCGACUUAUAUUCUGUAGCAAGGUUAACCGAAUAGGGGAGCCGAAGGGAAACCGAGUCUUAACUGGGCGUUAAGUUGCAGGGUAUAGACCCGAAACCCGGUGAUCUAGCCAUGGGCAGGUUGAAGGUUGGGUAACACUAACUGGAGGACCGAACCGACUAAUGUUGAAAAAUUAGCGGAUGACUUGUGGCUGGGGGUGAAAGGCCAAUCAAACCGGGAGAUAGCUGGUUCUCCCCGAAAGCUAUUUAGGUAGCGCCUCGUGAAUUCAUCUCCGGGGGUAGAGCACUGUUUCGGCAAGGGGGUCAUCCCGACUUACCAACCCGAUGCAAACUGCGAAUACCGGAGAAUGUUAUCACGGGAGACACACGGCGGGUGCUAACGUCCGUCGUGAAGAGGGAAACAACCCAGACCGCCAGCUAAGGUCCCAAAGUCAUGGUUAAGUGGGAAACGAUGUGGGAAGGCCCAGACAGCCAGGAUGUUGGCUUAGAAGCAGCCAUCAUUUAAAGAAAGCGUAAUAGCUCACUGGUCGAGUCGGCCUGCGCGGAAGAUGUAACGGGGCUAAACCAUGCACCGAAGCUGCGGCAGCGACGCUGAUGCGUUGUUGGGUAGGGGAGCGUUCUGUAAGCCUGCGAAGGUGUGCUGUGAGGCAUGCUGGAGGUAUCAGAAGUGCGAAUGCUGACAUAAGUAACGAUAAAGCGGGUGAAAAGCCCGCUCGCCGGAAGACCAAGGGUUCCUGUCCAACGUUAAUCGGGGCAGGGUGAGUCGACCCCUAAGGCGAGGCCGAAAGGCGUAGUCGAUGGGAAACAGGUUAAUAUUCCUGUACUUGGUGUUACUGCGAAGGGGGGACGGAGAAGGCUAUGUUGGCCGGGCGACGGUUGUCCCGGUUUAAGCGUGUAGGCUGGUUUUCCAGGCAAAUCCGGAAAAUCAAGGCUGAGGCGUGAUGACGAGGCACUACGGUGCUGAAGCAACAAAUGCCCUGCUUCCAGGAAAAGCCUCUAAGCAUCAGGUAACAUCAAAUCGUACCCCAAACCGACACAGGUGGUCAGGUAGAGAAUACCAAGGCGCUUGAGAGAACUCGGGUGAAGGAACUAGGCAAAAUGGUGCCGUAACUUCGGGAGAAGGCACGCUGAUAUGUAGGUGAAGUCCCUCGCGGAUGGAGCUGAAAUCAGUCGAAGAUACCAGCUGGCUGCAACUGUUUAUUAAAAACACAGCACUGUGCAAACACGAAAGUGGACGUAUACGGUGUGACGCCUGCCCGGUGCCGGAAGGUUAAUUGAUGGGGUUAGCCGCAAGGCGAAGCUCUUGAUCGAAGCCCCGGUAAACGGCGGCCGUAACUAUAACGGUCCUAAGGUAGCGAAAUUCCUUGUCGGGUAAGUUCCGACCUGCACGAAUGGCGUAAUGAUGGCCAGGCUGUCUCCACCCGAGACUCAGUGAAAUUGAACUCGCUGUGAAGAUGCAGUGUACCCGCGGCAAGACGGAAAGACCCCGUGAACCUUUACUAUAGCUUGACACUGAACAUUGAGCCUUGAUGUGUAGGAUAGGUGGGAGGCUUUGAAGUGUGGACGCCAGUCUGCAUGGAGCCGACCUUGAAAUACCACCCUUUAAUGUUUGAUGUUCUAACGUUGACCCGUAAUCCGGGUUGCGGACAGUGUCUGGUGGGUAGUUUGACUGGGGCGGUCUCCUCCUAAAGAGUAACGGAGGAGCACGAAGGUUGGCUAAUCCUGGUCGGACAUCAGGAGGUUAGUGCAAUGGCAUAAGCCAGCUUGACUGCGAGCGUGACGGCGCGAGCAGGUGCGAAAGCAGGUCAUAGUGAUCCGGUGGUUCUGAAUGGAAGGGCCAUCGCUCAACGGAUAAAAGGUACUCCGGGGAUAACAGGCUGAUACCGCCCAAGAGUUCAUAUCGACGGCGGUGUUUGGCACCUCGAUGUCGGCUCAUCACAUCCUGGGGCUGAAGUAGGUCCCAAGGGUAUGGCUGUUCGCCAUUUAAAGUGGUACGCGAGCUGGGUUUAGAACGUCGUGAGACAGUUCGGUCCCUAUCUGCCGUGGGCGCUGGAGAACUGAGGGGGGCUGCUCCUAGUACGAGAGGACCGGAGUGGACGCAUCACUGGUGUUCGGGUUGUCAUGCCAAUGGCACUGCCCGGUAGCUAAAUGCGGAAGAGAUAAGUGCUGAAAGCAUCUAAGCACGAAACUUGCCCCGAGAUGAGUUCUCCCUGACUCCUUGAGAGUCCUGAAGGAACGUUGAAGACGACGACGUUGAUAGGCCGGGUGUGUAAGCGCAGCGAUGCGUUGAGCUAACCGGUACUAAUGAACCGUGAGGCUUAACCUUACAACGCCGAAGCUGUU
rnacentral:rRNA from 1 species